rnacentral:rRNA from 1 species
CUAGGAGAGAUGAGGAGAGGGAAGAUCGAGUAAUGUGUGUAGAGUACACGAGCGGCGGACGGCUGAGUAACGCGUAGGAACGUACCCCAAAGUGAGGGAUAAGCACCGGAACGGUGUCUAAUACCGCAUGUGGUCUUCGGAUUAAAGCUUCGGCGCUUUGGGAGCGGCCUGCGUAUGAUUAGUUUGUUGGUGAGGUAAUGGCUCACCAAGGCUUCGAUCAUUAGCUGGUCUGAGAGGAUGAUCAGCCAGACUGGACUGAGAACGGCCCAGACUCCUACGGGAGGCAGCAGUAGGGAAUUUCCACAAUGGACGAAAGUCUGAUGGAGCAACGCCGCGUGCAGGAUGAAGGCUUUCGGGUCGUAAACUGCUUUUAUAUGUGACGAUUUUGACGGUAGCAUAUGAAUAAGGAUCGGCUAACUCCGUG